rnacentral:rRNA from 1 species
CCCUUAGAUGUCCUGGGCUGCACGCGCGCUACACUGAUGUGUCCAGUAAGCACCUAACCUCUUCCGAAAGGAACGGGUAACCUUUGCAAAGCACAUCGUGAUGGGGAUAGAUUAUUGCAAUUAUUAGUCUUGAACGAGGAAUUCCUAGUAAGCACAAGUCAUCAGCUUGUGUUGAUUACGUCCCUGCCCUUUGUACACACCGCCCGUCGCUCCUACCGAUUGAAUGUUCCGGUGAGCUCUUCGGACUGCGCGGUCUGCAGUUUCUGCGUUCCGUGCGGAAAGUUGCGCAAACCUUAACAUUUAGAGGAAGGAGCAGUCGUAACA